rnacentral:rRNA from 1 species
ACUCCUACGGGAGGCAGCAGUGGGGAAUAUUGCACAAUGGGCGCAAGCCUGAUGCAGCCAUGCCGCGUGUAUGAAGAAGGCCUUCGGGUUGUAAAGUACUUUCAGCAGUGAGGAAGGUGGGUAUGUUAAUAGCAUAUUCAUUUGACGUUAGCUGCAGAAGAAGCACCGCUAACUCCGUGCCAGCAGCCGCGGUAAUACGGAGGGUGCGAGCGUUAAUCGGAAUUACUGGGCGUAAAGCGCAUGCAGGUGGUUUGUUAAGUCAGAUGUGAAAGCCCGGGGCUCAACCUCGGAAUUGCAUUUGAAACUGGCAAACUAGAGUACUGUAGAGGGGGGUAGAAUUUCAGGUGUAGCGGUGAAAUGCGUAGAGAUCUGAAGGAAUACCGGUGGCGAACGGCGGCCCCCUGGACAGAUACUGACACUCAGAUGCGAAAGCGUGGGAGCAAACAGGAUUAGAUACCCUGGUAGCUCUGC